GUCAUAUUGAGCGCUCUACAUGAUGAGCAAUGCCGCUUACGCAUUGCGCACGCUCACUGCUUGCAGUUUGAGCGCUCUGGCAUGGUCCUGAUGUCCCACAAUCGUGAGGCAUCAAAGGUAACUGUAAAUAGCAGUUACUUUCAUCCUGUUCAUCAGCACCACACUGAUGAGACCCAUAAGGCCGAAACAGUACCGUCUGUUAUUAUUUCCAUAUUCAAAUAUUUUUUCGAUCUAGUAAUUUGAAGGUCGCGGGUUCAAGACCCAGCCGCGGCAGACUUUAUGUUUCUGCUUACGCUGCAGGGUAUGGAAAUUAUAUAUUACACACUCGAGAACAUUUUCAC